UACGUAGGGGGCUAGCGUUGUCCGGAAUCAUUGGGCGUAAAGAGCGUGUAGGCGGCUUGGUAAGUCCGCUGUGAAAGUCCAGGGCUCAACCCUGGAAUGCCAGUGGAUACUGUCAAGCUAGAGUCCGGAAGAGGCGAGUGGAAUUCCUGGUGUAGCGGUGAAAUGCGCAGAUAUCAGGAGGAACACCAAUGGCGAAGGCAGCUCGCUGGGACGGUACUGACGCUGAGACGCGAAAGCCAGGGGAGCAAACGGG
rnacentral:rRNA from 1 species